GGCUGUAGAUGGAGAUUAUAUCACAGAUAGAAAUGUAAUGCCAAGUGUUGUUCAAAACAAAGCAUGUGAGACUGCCUGAGGAGGGAGACUCCACACCUGCAAAUGGAGGAUUCCUUCCGCAGAACACUAACGAUGAUGCGUUAUCAAGGAGACAGAUCCAGCAAAAACUUUGCAAGAAUCCAGACCAUUUGGAACAUUCUAAAAGCCUUUGGAGUUCAGCGUAACUGAAGCUAAAGCCAUUUUCUUCCUAGAACAGAUGCAUCCAUAAAGACU